rnacentral:rRNA from 1 species
GAUGAACGCUGGCGGCGUGCCUAAUACAUGCAAGUCGAGCGAACGGACGAGAAGCUUGCUUCUCUGAUGUUACCGGCGGACGGGUGAGUAACACGUGGAUAACCUACCUAUAAGACUGGGAUAACUUCGGGAAACCUGAUCUAAUACCGGUUAAUAUUUUGAACCGCAUGGUUCAAAAGUGAAAGACGGUCUUGCUGUCACUUAUACGUGGAUCCGCGCUGCAUUAGCUAGUUGGUAAGGUAACGGCUUACCAAGGCAACGAUGCAUAGCCGACCUGAGAGGGUGAUCGGCCACACUGGAACUGAGACACGGUCCAGACUCCUACGGGAGGCAGCAGUAGGGAAUCUUCCGCAAUGGGCGAAAGCCUGACGGAGCAACGCCGCGUGAGUGAUGAAGGUCUUCGGAUCGUAAAACUCUGUUAUUAGGGAAGAACAUAUGUGUAAGUAACUGUGCACAUCUUGACGGUACCUAAUCAGAAAGCCACGGCUAACUACGUG